rnacentral:lncRNA from 1 species
UGUGGUUGUGGCAUAGGCCAGUGGCCACAGCUCCAACCCCUAGCCUGGGAACCUCCAUAUGCCAUGGGAGCAGCCCAAGAAAUGGCAAAAAGACAGAAAAAAAAAAGAACAAAGAAGAACAGAGAAAAUAGAGCAGGUCACAUAGUAAGGAAAAGUGAUGCUCUAUGAAAUUUUUGUUUUGAAUAUAUAUAUAUAUAUAUUCCAAAUAUAUGUAUGGGGUCUCUAUGAAAAGCACUUAUAUUUCUUACCAUGAGUUACAGUGUGAACAAAAUAUGUUAGAACUGCUCUGUAUUCACAUAUAUUUAUCACUGCUUUCAGAACCUGGAGCAAAAUGCUCCUCCUCCAAGGCCAUAGAAUCUUAGAGCAAGAGACCUAGAGGUCAUCUGGUCCACUGACCCCCAAAAUUGGUGCCCCGAAGCUUCAUGAGGUUCCCCUAGGAAAUUCAUUAAAAAUGCCAAAUCUUGGAGGUCCUGCUGUGGUGCCACAGGAUCAGCAGCUUCCCUGGAGCUCUGGGACACAGAUUCAAUCCCUGGCUCAGCACAGUGGGUUAAGCAUCCAGCAUUGACACAGCUGUAGCAUAGGUUGCAAGUGGGGUGCACAUCUGAUCCCUGGCCCAGGAACUCUAUAUGCUUGGGGGCGGCCAAAAAAGAAACGAAACAAAAUAGGAAUUGGCAAAGUGGAUUAAAAAAAUAAAAAUAAAAAAAGCCAAAUCUUCAGGCCCAGCCCCACAGGUUUAAAUUCAUUUGAUCCAAAAAUGUAUAUUUUCUGAUUCUGAGUUUGGGGAAACCACUGAUCUAACCUACUUUCUUAAUUUGACAUUGCGCGGCAGCCAAGGUCGCAAAGCUCAUUAGUGGCAGCUCUGAGACGCUCUAUCCCUUGCCCUUCUCCAUCUUUCCACUCAGCGGGUCUCCAGGGAAGGCCUAAGCGGUGGUCAUGACCUGGAACGCAUACAGUAAAAUGAUCUGAAAUGGUUUUUUAAAAUAUGGGUAGCCCGCCCCCCCCCCAAACCAUUUAAGGUACAGUCUCUGUGGGUAGUCGUGAGUAUCUGGCCUUCUGGGAGUGUCUCUCAAACUUCGAUGUACAUAUCACUCCCCUAAGGGUCUUACUGUUUCACUUCCAAGGUCUGGGUAGGGUUUUCUGCAUUUCAAAACAGGCUCCCCUGCCCUCCACCCCACCCCGACCACCACGCCCCUUGCCAGUCUGGGAGCCAGACUUCUCGCAACAGGACCUUAAGGUGUAGCCCCAGGUCCCCAAAACCUGCAAGCUUCCACACCUCUGCCAGCAUCUCACUUGCCUGCCUCAGUUUGUACUCUCUGGAUGUGCAUUUGCUUACCACUCAGCAGUGAUUUUCCACUGUUUCGUUAAUCAAAGGUUGGCUUCCCUAUCUAUGAGUAUCCUUCCCCCUUGCCCCCCACCCAACCUAUCCACCUAGGCCUGUGCUGUCCUCAAGGUCCGUGGUAAAGGUGACUAUGCUGUGACCAGCCCUGGCUUAGCUCCACCCAUCAGUAAACAGAGAUGGCAGGCCCACACCCACAGCCUUUCCUGGGACAGCUUGCUGUCCUGUAAGGGUGGCAGAGCAAGUCACUCACUGCCUGUUGUGAAGAGGUGUUGUGCACUGCCUGUGGUGCACGGAGCCAAAUGGCCUGUGUUCACAUCCCUGCUCUGCCACUAGCUGUGUGUACUUGGAGAAAUUACUGAGCCUGUUUCCCCAGUUAUAAUAUAGGGACAAAAAUAGUACAUGAUCUAUAGGGUUGUUUUGAACGUUAAAUGAGUUAACAGAUGUAAAGUGCUGGCACACACAGUAAGCUGUAUGUUAUAGAAGUGCUGGUGUUUUGUAGUUAUAGAAGGAGGGAAUUGAAAAUGGUAUCAUCAUAUGCUAGAGUUUGAAGUAUUCAUUGAAUUGGAUGCUCUAGAGACAGAUAAGUCCUUCCCAUUGGUGGGAACAGCAUGGGCAAAGGCACAGAGGCAGACAUCAAGAACCAGGAGUUUAGUUUGAUGCCGCUACAGGGAUGCCUACAGGGAGCAGUGGCUGAUGGGCUUAGAAUGUCAGUGGGUACCAAACUAAAGAGUUCAGAUUUUAUUCUGGAAGCAAUGGAGAGCCAGUCCUGGAGGAUAUUUAAAAUGUAUAUAUUUAGGAGGUCCUGCUGGGGUGCAGUGGGAUCAGCAGUGUCUUGGGAGCCCUGGGCCGCAGGUUCUCUCUCCAGCCCGGCACUGUGGGUUAAGGAUCCAGCUUUGCCACACCUACAGCUUAGGUCAUGACAGCAGCUUGGAUCCAAUCCCUGGCCCAGGAACUUCAUAUGCCGCAGGUGUGGCCAAAAAACAUAUCUUUUUUUUUUUUUUUUCCACUGCACUUGCAGCAUGUGAAAGUUGAGACCAGGGAUCAAACCUGCAUCACAGUUGUGAUUUGUGCCACGGCUGAGGCAUUGCCAGAUCCUUAAUCCACUGUGCCACAGUGGAACUUCCUAAAUCUAUCUUUUCAGACAAAAGUUGCAAUGUGGUGUUGCUCUGAGCAGAAUGUUACAACCACUCCCCGCGUUCGGGUAAUCACGGUUAUUUUCUUCGUCCCUCCUCUUGUCCACCUCGUGAUGUUGAUCCAAGCUUCUCAUAUUGUCUGAGUGAACAUUCAGUUCAAUGAAGUGACCUUGGGCCAAGUCGCCAAAAGGGUCACAUAGCGUGGAAUCCAUCUAAUCACUGGAGCUCACAGCCCAGAGCCUCUGGGCCACUCUGCAGUGGAAUCUUGUCACCUCCCAGCCAUAGAGCCCUUAAAAAGACCAAGUGCCCUAAUUAAGAGCUUUGAGCAGGAACCUGCAGCUCCCACAUGGUUGUUAAUUCUUUCCCCGUCUCUUAAUUCUUAAUCCAAGAAUAAUAUACUCAAAUGGUAGGCUUUGUCUAAACUCACACACACACACACACACGAACACACGUACUUGGCGUUAGGCAGCAGGCAGAGCUUCAUGCUGCUUUGUGACUUAGUGGCAAGUUGCCUAACGUCUCUGUACACCCAGGAGUAAGGAAUUCAUCUGUAAUAUGAAGGUCAUUAAGAGUCCCUAUUUUAUUGAGUUGUCAUGAGGGUUAAAUGAAUUAGUACAAGCACAGCAGUUAGAAGCGAGUGUCUGGCACAGGGUCAGUGACCAAGAAGCACUAGCUAUUAUUAUUAUAAUGGAGGAGAUUGGAAUAGCUCAAGGUCUGCCACUUUAGAAUGAGAAAGAAAAUGUAAUUACCAAUUGGGAAGGAGUAAAAGAAUCCUAAAAACAUUUUAUGUGAACAUCUGUGGCAGUAAAUUUGAAAAUCUAGAAGAAAUGGGGAAUGUCCUAACAAAAUAUAAAUGAUAAAAAUCCCUCCAAAGAGGGAGAACACCUGAGUAGACCAAUAAUCACAGAACACUUUAAAUAGAGUGUAUUAAAGAGACACCCAUUUUAAAAGCCUAAAUGGUCUUAUAACUGGAUACUGUCUAGUCUUCAAUACCUAGUAUAGCCUGUCUUAUUCAAACUCUUUCAGCCUGGAGAGCAAGAUGGAAAAUUUCCCUCAGUUCAUUUUAUGAAACCAGCAUGACCUGCAUAUUCAAACCUCAAAAGCACAUGUCUCUUCUCUCUCAAAAGCUUUGAGGGAAAAGAGGACCCUAACAAAGAAAGACGGGAAAGAAAGCACAAUUUGGUGUGCAGGACGACAGGCUCUUACCUUAAGCAGUAGGUGUGCAACUGGAGGCAUGUAAGAAUCACCUGAACAAAACUGCAACUGACAACACUUAUGUCUUGAACCUAGACAGAAACCAGAUUGGGACUGGAACCCACGGUUUUUUAAAAUUAGAAUUUAAAAAUUCUAAUCACCUGGUUGUCUGGACUUACAGAAGUUCAGGUUCUUUGUGCCUCGGUGCAGGAGGAAUUCAGCAAGAGACACAGGGAUAGGCAAGAAAUAGAUUUAUUGAGAUAAAAUGCUGGCAAGAGAUGCGAGCAGGCAAGCAAGGAAGCUCUGCCCCAAGGAUUAGGCGGGCUACAUUUUUAUAAUCCAAGGAAAGUGGGGAGCGGGAAAAGACUGCCUCUUCUUCCUUCUUUGGGUAGAUGUCAGGCUUACAUCAUUAGCUCCUCCUUUGUAUCCUGUAAGAGAGUAUUUGACCCUAUGAGGUCAAACUAGGACUGACAUGGUGCUUAGUCAAAUCAGCAGAAGGGUGGUAACAGAUGCUAAAAUAUGUUGAAUCCUCUCAGGUUUCCGUAUAAUGAGGGUCAUUCUUCAUUGGGAGGGUCAUUCUUCCCUUAAAUUCCUGUCCUUGGUCCUAUGGAUCAUCGUCUUGCUGAACUUGAAUCCAGGCCUCAUUGUAUCUUUCAUUUAAUAGCCUGAGGCAUAUCUUGUGCCUUUAUUUGUGGUUUUCUAAUUAAGCAAGCCUGCUUCAUUCUGAUGGCUUUCUUGAGCAAAUAAUAACUUCCAGUGAGAUCAAAGUUCCCUAGGUUUCCCUCCCUAUCUGUGGUCCCCUACUGGGACCUCUACAACUACCUGUGUGACUGUCCUACUCCAUCCCUAUCAAAACCAGACUCCACUCCCAGAGAGCUUGAUUUCAUUAUUCUGGGGAAGGGCCUGGCUAUAGAUAUGUUUUCAAGCUCCCCAGAACCAUCGCUUUAAGGUAACUGGAAAUCACAGAGGCCCACAAGCCUGGUUGUGAUUCCAAAGCCUUCCCACCUAGCAGCCAGCAUAUCGAGGAGAGACUUUGUCAGUCCUUUAAUGUGACUGGAGCUAGAAGAGGUAGCUGUUAGCCACAGCAUGCCAAACUUCCUGUCAGAGCCUAAGGGUUCCACAAAGCUGCAGUGUCCUGGCCUCAGAGGCCAAAGACCUAGCCAGGAACAGGAGUGUUCUUAUUUGUGAGUUCUGAGCCAGCAACCUUGCCUGCUGCCAAAGAAGGCCAGGAAAGCCCACAGAGCACUGUAAUCUCUGGAAUCCAAUGGGAUUUUAGUGACAGACCUGUUCGUGAUCAUGCUGCAAGGUCACAGAGCCCACGUGGUGAACAGUUCCAAGAAUAAAUGAUUAGCAGUGUGUGCAAUUCUUAGCUCCUCCAUUCCACAGUUCCUGGAGUCAGCACCACCGUGGACAGCCUGUAGCCACUCGUGGCUGAAGCCUCAUCAAAGCAUCAAACCGUCCUGUAAGCACCAUAGAGGAGGGGGAGCUGUCCGGGGUCCCAUCCUUCCAGCAACUGGGAUUCCCUAACCAGGCACUCUAGGCUCCUUUCCAACCAACCAUCCUCCUCAGAACCUAAGACAACUGUGUUGGUUUCAUCAAAUGUCCUCAGCCCCCAUCUCAGUCAUCAAUCUCAUGUCUAUCCCCUGUUUCAUUAAAUAAUAUUCAUGAAUAAUAAGGCAACUUGAAGCAUUCUUACCAUGAGAUAAUAUAAAAAUAGAACAAAUGAAUAGAUAGAUUGCUGGCCCAAGUUUGGUUAAUUGAUAUAGGAGGGUUCCUAUUGUGGCUCAGCAGACAGGAAUCCAACUAGUAUCCAUAAAGAAGUUUGAUCCCUGGUCUUGCUCAGUGGGUUAAGGAUCCGGCAUUGACGUGAGCUGUGGUGUAGGUUACAGAUGUGCUUGGAUCUGGCGUUGCUGUGGCUGUGGUAUAGGCUGGCACCUGUAGCUCUGAUUGGACCACUAGCCUGGGAACUUCCAUAUGACGUGGGUGUGGACCUAAAAAGACCAAAAAAUAUAUCUACGUAUCUAUAUACCACGUAUAUAUAUGAGCCAUGCAGACUGUCUUCCUCUGUGCAGCGGGCCACCUCCAUCCACAACGGCACAUUUCACUGGGUUCUCAGAGUCGCUCAUCAUUAAACAAACAAAAGAAAAGGCGAAAAAUGCCAGGGACUAAUGGUGAAAUGGUGCAAUGUCUGGUGUUUGCUCUAUAAUAUUCCCUAAAAGGAACAGUUGGGAGGUGGACAUAGAUACAGGAGGAAUGGCAAAAUAUGAGUCAUUGAUACUGGGUGGUGGGCACAUGUCUGUUUGUUACACUGUUCUCUUUUUGUAUGUUUGAAAUUUUCCCAUAAGAAAAAAGAAAAGGAUAGAAGGAGAGACAACAUGUUGAUAGGGCUGUGCGUCCAUGGGCACAUAACUGGCAGAAGGUUCCAGACCAAGGAGUUCCCGUCGUGGCUCAGUGGUUAAUGAAUCCGACUAGGAACCAUGAGAUUGAGGGUUCGAUCCCUGGCCUUGCUCAGUGGGUUAAGGAUCCGGUGUUGCCAUGAGCUGUGGUGUGGGUCACAGACACAGCUCAGAUCUGGCGUUGCUGUGGCUCUGGCAUAGGCCAGUGGCUGCAGCUCCAAUUGGACCCCUAGCCUGGGAGCCUCCAUGUGCCGCGGGAGAGGCCCCAGAAAUGGCAAAAAGACAAAAAAAAAAAAAAAAAAAAAAAAAA